AGAAUCAACGCUGGCGGCGUGCCUAACACAUGCAAGUCGAACGAGAAAGGGUAGCAAUACCUGAGUAAAGUGGCGCACGGGUGAGUAACACGUGACUAGCCUACCUUUUUAGUGGGGGAUAACCUAGGGAAACCUGGGCUAAUACCGCAUAAUACCUACGGGUCAAAGCAGCAAUGCGCUGAAUGAGGGGGUCGCGGUCGAUUAGUUAGUUGGCAGGGUAAUGGCCUACCAAGACUGUGAUCGAUA
rnacentral:rRNA from 1 species